UACGAGGGGGGCAAGCGUUGUUCGGAAUUAUUGGGCGUAAAGGGCGCGUAGGCGGCGCCACAAGUCACUUGUGAAAACUCUGGGCUCAACUCAGAGCCUGCAAGCGAUACUGUGGUGCUGGAGUAUGGGAGAGGUGCGUGGAAUUCGCGGUGUAGCGGUGAAAUGCGUAGAUAUCGGGAGGAACACCUGUGGCGAAAGCGGGGCACUGGACAAUAACUGACGCUGAGGCGCGAAAGCUAGGGGAGCAAACAGG
rnacentral:rRNA from 1 species